AAAAAAAAUCCCACAUGCGCUUUCUCAAUAAUAUUUACAGUGUGUUGUACUCCUUUUGGGACACAUUAUAUAAACAUUAUAGAAAAGUGUUAUCGGCUCUAACUAGAAAUACGGUGUACUAAAUAAAUUGGCAAAAAGUAAAAUCACAAAAAUGGCAUAAUCAAAUGAUAAAACACAUCAAACGAAUGCAAAACAACUGCCAUAUUCCUGACUGGAUACAGGCAUUUUCAAAUGUAGAAAAUACAAGCAAGCAACACACUGUCCACACUAGGGACUAUAUUCAAGGACAGCGAAAAUCAAAGGACAAUAACUGUUUACUCGGACCUCUUGUGGAGAGUUGUCUCAUUGGCAAUCAUACCA
rnacentral:lncRNA from 1 species